rnacentral:rRNA from 1 species
UACGAAGGGGGCUAGCGUUGCUCGGAAUUACUGGGCGUAAAGCGCACGUAGGCGGAUUGUUAAGUCGGGGGUGAAAUCCUGGAGCUCAACUCCAGAACUGCCUUCGAUACUGGCGAUCUCGAGUUCGGGAGAGGUGAGUGGAACUGCGAGUGUAGAGGUGAAAUUCGUAGAUAUUCGCAAGAACACCAGUGGCGAAGGCGGCUCACUGGCCCGAUACUGACGCUGAGGUACGAAAGCGUGGGGAGCAAACAGG